rnacentral:rRNA from 1 species
GACGAACGCUGGCGGCGUGCUUAACACAUGCAAGUCGAACGGAAAGGCCCUGCUUUCGUGGGGUGCUCGAGUGGCGAACGGGUGAGUAACACGUGAGUAACCUGCCCUUGACUUUGGGAUAACUUCAGGAAACUGGGGCUAAUACCGGAUAGGAGCUCCUGCUGAAUGGUGGGGGUUGGAAAGUUUCGGCGGUUGGGGAUGGACGCGCGGCUUAUCAGCUUGUUGGUGGGGUAGUGGCUUACCAAGGCUUUGACGGGUAGCCGGCCUGAGAGGGUGACCGGCCACAUUGGGACUGAGAUACGGCCCAGACUCCUACGGGAGGCAGCAGUGGGGAAUAUUGCACAAUGGGCGGAAGCCUGAUGCAGCAACGCCGCGUGCGGGAUGACGGCCUUCGGGUUGUAAACCGCUUUCGCCUGUGACGAAGCGUGAGUGACGGUAAUGGGUAAAGAAGCACCGGCUAACUACGUG